CUUGUAGAAUGGAAUCAUCCUGUAGGGGUUCUAAUUCUAUUGUGAUCCCUCCUGGGAACCCCAGCAUCUGUACGCACAAUGGAUAUCCGAAGACCGAUGGUGUCAGCGAUAAAUUCAGCUGCUGAAGUGUAAGCUGGAUCAAGUUUUUCCUCAAUGCGUGCAUGGAUCGCGCACUUAUGGAGGUGUUUAUUGGGUCAGGAAGAACAUCAAAUUCUACAACAGUGAAGCUCAAGAAUAAUGCCUGCAUAGAGACGGAAACCUGCAGAAUUGUCUCGCUCCGCGGCAUGUGGAGCGAGUUGCGCAAGUGGCUUCAACAAGAUGAAACCAGCCUGAAUUUCAUCUGGAGAAGUGAAUGUUUUGUCGUCAAAACAUGAUUCAUGGCAUAGUUCCUAUCGAAGACAUGGAGCUUUGGAAGGCACACAUGGCUGGAGAUAGCUGAUCAUGGCUGAAACCUGGUGCUAAAGAAGCCGUCCUUACCGAUGAGUGUGCCGGGGGCAUCAGGCACGCUGUUCCCCGGUGAUCGGAAUUGAAG